AUGUUGCCAAUGGAGUUAAAUGGUCCUCCAUUUGGUCAACCAACAACUCCAGCAACCGCCGAGCAAUCGCAUGUGCAAGUGCCCACACAAGAUGAAUUUGAUGAUAUAGACAAGCUUACAUUGCUUAGUCUCGAGUUCACUUGGAGUGCCGAGGAUGAUCCUAUUAGGAAGGUUAUACUAGAGGAAAUGAAGAAGAUCAAGAGUGGAAAAGAGCUAGUUGAAGAAGUAAGGAAGAUUGAGAAGAACAUCAACGCUGGCAGCACUAUUUCUUCACAGCUUGAGCUGAGUGUUUCUGGGAUUCCCCUUGAUACAUGUGAGGUUCCAACACCUUCAUAUCCAGCCAAGGAAGAUAGCAAGUGCCUCGAGGAAGAGAUAUCUCAGAUUGAAGAAGAUGAACUAGAAGACAAGGAACAAGAUGACCAAGAGCUUGAAUGCCCAAGUGAUCAAGACGAAGAUUUGAAGAAGUGUUUGCUUGGAUAUGAUGAUACAUAUACUGUUGGUGGCAUUGCUCAUAUUAAUGAUGAUCACACUUAUUUUCCUCAUGCCAAACCUAUGCUUAAUGAUAAAUAUCAUCCUCAUGUUAGUAUUGAGCUUGCUGAUUCCUAUCAUACUCGCCAUGUUCUUUAUAGCUAUGCUUAUGUAAUUGGGUACUCUAUUGAUGAUUUAGAGGGCAUUACCCCUUUCACUUGUAUGGUCUCUUUUGUCGAGUGCUCUUUCAGGUUUUUGCUACUGCACCGUUCACAACAUGCUGACCAGGUUCGAGAUGACAUUCCUUGGGACCCCAGUGGAUUUAGAGCAUGGUGA
rnacentral:rRNA from 1 species